AGAGUUUGAUCCUGGCUCAGGACGAACGCUGGCGGCGUGCUUAACACAUGCAAGUGGUGCGACGAACCAGGGCUUGCCCUGGGGCAAAGCCGCGAACGGGUGAGUAACACGUGAGUAACCUGCCCCGAUGACCGGGACAACCCGAGGAAACUCGGGCUAAUACCGGAUGUGGCGAACAGGCGUAAGCCAGUUCGCUAAAGGAAGCUUCGGCCUCCGCAUUGGGAGGGGCUCGCGGCCCAUUAGCUUGUUGGUGGGGUAACGGCCUACCAAGGCUGCGAUGGGUAGCUGGUCUGAGAGGACGAUCAGCCACACUGGGACUGAGACACGGCCCAGACUCCUACGGGAGGCAGCAGUGGGGAAUCUUGCGCAAUGCGCGAAAGCGUGACGCAGCAACGCCGCGUGGGGGAAGACGGCCUUCGGGUUGUAAACCCCUUUUCAGGAGGGACGAAGGUUCACCGGUGAAUAGCCGUGUGGAUUGACGGUACCUCCAGAAGAAGCUCCGGCUAACUACGUGCCAGCAGCCGCGGUAAUACGUAGGGGGCAAGCGUUGUCCGGAAUCAUUGGGCGUAAAGCGCGCGUAGGCGGCCCUGUAAGUCCGUUGUGAAAGUCAAAGGCUCAACCUUUGAAUGCCGAUGGAUACUGCAGGGCUAGAGUCCGGAAGAGGCGAGUGGAAUUCCUGGUGUAGCGGUGGAAUGCGCAGAUAUCAGGAGGAACACCAAUAGCGAAGGCAGCUCGCUGGGACGGUACUGACGCUAAGGCGCGAAAGCGUGGGGAGCGAACAGGAUUAGAUACCCUAGUAGUCC
rnacentral:rRNA from 1 species